rnacentral:rRNA from 1 species
GGCGCACGGGUGCGUAACGCGUAUGCAACCUGCCCCCAUCAGGGGAAUAGCCCGCCGAAAGGCGGAUUAAUGCCCCAUAGGCCCAGGGCGCUGCAUGGCGCUAUGGGUAAAGCUCCGGCGGAUGGGGAUGGGCAUGCGUGCCAUUAGCUAGUUGGGGCGGUAACGGCGCACCAAGGCGACGAUGGCUAGGGGGUCUGAGAGGAUGGUCCCCCACACUGGUACUGAGACACGGACCAGACUCCUACGGGAGGCAGCAGUGAGGAAUAUUGGUCAAUGGGCGGAAGCCUGAACCAGCCAUGCCGCGUGCAGGAUGACGGCCCUACGGGUUGUAAACUGCUUUUCCCCGGGAAGAAUAAGCCCCUCGUGAGGGGUGAUGCCGGUACCGGGGGAAUAAGGAUCGGCUAACUCCGUGCCAGCAGCCGCGGUAAUACGGAGGAUCCGAGCGUUAUCCGGAUUUACUGGGUUUAAAGGGUGCGUAGGCGGGCGCCUAAGUCAGCGGUGAAAUGCAGCGGCUCAACCGUUGAACUGCCGUUGAAACUGGGCGCCUUGGAUGCGGUCGAGGCCGGCGGAAUGCGUGGUGUAGCGGUGAAAUGCUUAGAUAUCACGCAGAACGCCAAUUGCGAAGGCAGCUGGCCGGGCCGCAAUCGACGCUGAGGCACGAAAGCGUGGG